AGGAUUAGAUACCCGGGUAGUCCACGCUGUAAACGAUGAGUGCUAGGUGUAGGGGGUAUCGACCCCCUCUGUGCCGAGGCUAACGCGAUAAGCACUCCGCCUGGGGACUACGGCCGCAAGGCUAAAACUCAAAGGAAUUGACGGGGCCCGCACAAGCAGCGGAGCGUGUGGUUUAAUUCGAUGAUACGCGAAGAACCUCACCCAGGUUUGACAUGCACGUGGUACUGAGGUGAAAGCCGAGGGACCCUUCGGGGAGCGUGCACAGGUGUUGCACGGCCGUCGUCAGCUCGUGCCGUGAGGUGUUGGGUUAAGUCCCGCAACGAGCGCAACCCCUGUCGCCAGUUGUACUUUUCUGGCGAGACUGCCGGUCAAAUACCGGAGGAAGGAGGGGACGAUGUCAGGUCAGCGUGGCCCUUACGCCUGGGGCUACACACACGCUACAAUGGGUGGUACAACGGGCAGCCAAGCGGCGACGCGGAGCUAAUCCCAUCAAAGCCAUCCUCAGUUCGGAUUGCAGGCUGAAACCCGCCUGCAUGAAGCCGGAGUUGCUAGUAACCGCAGGUCAGCACUACCGCGGUGAAUACGUUCCCGGGCCUUGUACACACCGCCCGUCACGUCACGAAAGUUGGCAACACCUGAAGCCGGUGUGCUAACCGCAAGGAGGCAGCCGUCUAGGGUGGGGCCAGCGAUUGGGACGAAGUCGUAACAAG
rnacentral:rRNA from 1 species